GACGAACGCUGGCGGCGUGCUUAACACAUGCAAGUCGAACGCUGAAGCACCAGCUUGCUGGUGUGGAUGAGUGGCGAACGGGUGAGUAAUACGUGAGUAACCUGCCCUUGACUCUGGGAUAAGCCCGGGAAACUGGGUCUAAUACUGGAUGCUACAUGUCACCGCAUGGUGGUGUGUGGAAAGGGUUUACUGGUCUUGGAUGGGCUCACGGCCUAUCAGCUUGUUGGUGAGGUAAUGGCUCACCAAGGCGGCGACGGGUAGCCGGCCUGAGAGGGUGACCGGCCACACUGGGACUGAGACACGGCCCAGACUCCUACGGGAGGCAGCAGUGGGGAAUAUUGCACAAUGGGCGAAAGCCUGAUGCAGCGGCGCCGCGUGAGGGAUGACGGCCUUCGGGUUGGAAACCUCUUUCAGUAGGGAAGAAGCCACAAGUGACGGUACCUGCAGAAGAAGCGCCGGCUAACUACGUG
rnacentral:rRNA from 1 species